rnacentral:rRNA from 1 species
UACGUAGGGGGCGAGCGUUGUUCGGAAUUACUGGGCGUAAAGGGCUCGUAGGCGGCCAACUAAGUCCGACGUGAAAUCCCCAGCUUAACCUGGGAACUGCGUCGGAUACUGGAUGGCUUGAAUUCGGGAGAGGGAUGCAGAAUUCCAGGUGUAGCGGUGAAAUGCGUAGAUAUCUGGAGGAAUACCGGUGGCGAAGGCGGCAUCCUGGACCGACAUUGACGCUGAGGAGCGAAAGCUAGGGGAGCGAACAGG